GUUUAGAUAGUUUAUAUAAAAUAUUGAUUUGUGGAAUCAAAGAGGUCUUAGGACUUUAGGCA
rnacentral:tRNA from 2 species